rnacentral:lncRNA from 1 species
ACUUCCGAGAAUUUCGAUCUUUGGACGGCAGGAAGACGGCAAAGCCGACGGGACGAGGAGGUGAAACGGAGGAACGGAGGGACGGAGAGGCUCUCUGCAACGAAGGGAACCGAGUUCGCUGAAGAGGUCAUGGGAGAGGGCAGGUGGGACACGCAACUGAAAAUGUACACACGCGGACGAUAUAUGUGUCAUUGGUAGGUGGUAACGCGCGCAUACGAUGCACCGAUGUUACGCAUACACGUCCAGGGGUUAUCUUAGCUUCCGCCGCCUUCGUGCACCGCAUCUAUACGCAGUGACAAACGAUCCGAGGCGAUAUACCAGCGCAGACCUGGUAUACGUUCAACCGGCAUUAAAUUAUCAUUCCUUUUCAGGCAAUUUCUCGCGAUUAAGCUGCGCAGCUGCUGCGGAGCCGUAGACUUACAUCUCUCAUCCUUGGCGUAGAACUGCAGACUGGAAAAGUUUUCGCCAAGCUGCAGUGCCGGCUAAACCCCGGCUACACCUUCUUCGUUCCCCGAUACAUGCACGUCCUUAUGUGAGAUCGUCAAGAAUCAGCUAUGCAAUGCCCACGCUUAUAUUACAGGUGUACAGUCACCGUAUUACACGGAGUUGGAAAUUUCUUCAGGUAUUUUGAUUGACCUGUGACGAGAAGAAAUGUGUUGGUAUUUUUAUCGAAGGUUUAGACGCGCGAAAAUAAAAAUACGAACCGCAUCACGAAACACCGCAAAUUUUUUAUACGGUUGAAAGGAUGACUGUGACUCAUAGAUUUAUCCCUGUGAGAAAUUGAACGCCGCGUAAGAUAUUUAACCCAUUGUAAAAAUGUAUGGUUUUUAUCGGUUGUUUCUACUUUUGCUUGCUAUGAUUAUACAUUGUCUAUAAUGAUAUUAUGACU